CAGUAGCCGCGGUAAUACGUAGGUGGCAAGCGUUGUCCGGGAUUAUUGGGCGUAAAGGGCUCGCAGGCGGUUUCUUAAGUCUGAUGUGAAAGCCCCCGGCUCAACCGGGGAGGGUCAUUGGAAACUGGGAAACUUGAGUGCAGAAGAGGAGAGUGGAAUUCCACGUGUAGCGGUGAAAUGCGUAGAGAUGUGGAGGAACGCCAGUGGCGAAGGCGACUCUCUGGUCUGUAACUGACGCUGAGGAGCGAAAGCGUGGGGAGCGAACAGGAUUAGAUACCCCAGUAGUCCCUGUCUCUUAUAC
rnacentral:rRNA from 1 species